ensembl:lncRNA
CGCCACAAGAGGGCAGAGUUUGACCGCGAACUGCGUCUUAAAUUCAGUCAUGCGCUGUUCUGCAGUAUUAAUAAUAAUAGUGAUUACACAAAAACAGUAUAUGAUAAUUAUGCACUUAUUAUGGCGUUGCCGAUCUCAAAGCCGGUAUUAUCUGUAGAUUCAAUCGAUUUCUUUGGCAGAGUUACAGUUCAUUCAGAUAAAUUAACUUCAGGUGUGGAGCUGAGCUCUACAGGGCUGCAUUGAAACAAAAAAAUAUUAGGAGGCUUCAACAUUGUGCCAAAUUGCGUCUUUCUCAGCACUGAGCUGUCCUGAGCAGAGGAAAUGACUGAAAACACACAGUUCUCCCACACACUACCUGAGUCAGCAGCUCACGGCCCACGGCAGCCAAUUUGAUUGAUUGGACUGAGAGUUCCCACAUACAGGACACAGGGAGAGUUUCACAGGAUGUGCAGUUAAACGCAGAGAGCCAUGUCAAAACCUCCCACUGCGCUAGUGCUUCAACACUUGGUCCAAGCAAACACUUAAAGUAUAAUGUUUUUGAGACACAGGCCGGCUACUGAAAACCUGCCAUGAAUGACUGGCCUCACACACGGAUCUAAAAAGAGAGAAAAUCAACAUGGGAAAGAGAGAAAGAAGAAAAAAAUCAUUAAAUAGAACAUUUCA